CAGGCCUAACACAUGCAAGUCGAACGGGCACCUUCGGGUGUCAGUGGCAGACGGGUGAGUAACACGUGGGAACAUACCCUUCGGUUCGGAACAACUCAGGGAAACUUGAGCUAAUACCGGAUACGCCCUUACGGGGAAAGAUUUAUUGCCGAAGGAUUGGCCCGCGUCUGAUUAGCUAGUUGGUGAGGUAACGGCUCACCAAGGCGACGAUCAGUAGCUGGUCUGAGAGGAUGAUCAGCCACACUGGGACUGAGACACGGCCCAGACUCCUACGGGAGGCAGCAGUGGGGAAUAUUGGACAAUGGGCGAAAGCCUGAUCCAGCCAUGCCGCGUGAGUGAUGAAGGCCUUAGGGUUGUAAAGCUCUUUUAUCCGGGAAGAUAAUGACUGUAUCGGAAGAAUAAGCCCCGGCUAACUUCGUGCCAGCAUCCGCGGUAAU
rnacentral:rRNA from 1 species